UUGAUAAUAAUAACGGAUAAACAUAACAUAGCAAUAAAUAUUAAAUACCAACGCAGGAAAUACACAAAAUAACAAAUAACAAUUCUAUUUUAAGAUUCUUGUUACAGUAGCUGAUCGUCCACAGUCAUAAUUCAAAGUGAACCUGCAGUAAAUAAAUGGAUAUCAGAGCACGUAGUAAUAUGGUGGUAUACUUGGAGAGUCCCGAUAAACACCAAUAUUACUUACAGACAGACCCAGCAACUACCGCAGAAGGCAGAAACAACUAUGGCCAUAACCGUGCAUAUACAGUUAAAAGUGGACUAGACCGUUAAUAAUUAAACAACACUACUAAGAUAACAAAAGGAAACAACUGUGUAAGUCCAGAACAAGUCUAACAGCUGGAAAUCAGAAAUUGAGAAAAAAAUCCCAUCGAGCAGCACCAAUUAACAAGUUCACAAGCCAUUAGACAAGGAACCCCAACACAUUGGAAAAGAGGAAGAUCAAGACGAUAAACAGAAUAUUAAUUUAUUUUUUGAUACCAAACCCGUAAAAUUAGCACUUCCAUUUUAUAAUAUUUUUUUUAACACGAUAUAUCUCUAUUAGGUUUUGGUAAAAAUAAAAAAUCAACAUUGUUAUAUUAAAAUUAUGUGUGACAAACACAAAUACAAACAAUAUUAGAAGGAGAUAAUAUAAUAAUAAUAGAAGGAGACCCAUAACUAUAUUAUAGUCGUUUAUUUUCAGUGUUGGACGUUGAUAUUUAUUAUUUUUUUUCCCGAAAUGACGACGUCGUCGAACGCGGAUAACAACAAUAUGGUACCUUAUAAAUAUAAUGUACUAAAUUAUUAUUAUAACUACUUCGUACUUACUAUUCAAUAUAAAAUUAUUUAAUAAUAAAAUAGAACAAAAAUAAACUGAAAACGUUUCAAUGUAAUAAGUAUAAUAUAUAUAUAAUAUAUAUAUAAACAUAACUUCAAUACAAUAUGUUAUUACUGAUAAAAUAUGUUUAUUAAACCGAAUCGGAGAAAAACGGAUACAGCGUAAUAAGAAAAUUAUUAUUACAUUUAGAAUUUAUUUCCAAAUUAUUUUACGACGUAUUCUAACAUAUUAUUAUCUAGUAUCUACUCAGUUGCUCUGAACACGCAUUUUCUGACGU